rnacentral:rRNA from 1 species
UGCGCAGGCGGUUGUGCAAGACAGAUGUGAAAUCCCCGGGCUUAACCUGGGAAUUGCAUUUGUGACUGCACAGCUAGAGUGUGUCAGAGGGGGGUAGAAUUCCACGUGUAGCAGUGAAAUGCGUAGAGAUGUGGAGGAAUACCGAUGGCGAAGGCAGCCCCCUGGGAUAACACUGACGCUCAUGCACGAAAGCGUGGGGAGCAAACA